UCGCCUGUUUAUCAAAAACAUAGUUUAGUGAAAAAUUAUACUAAAUGAAUUCUGCCCAGUGUUUUAAUAAAUGGCCGCAGUACCCUGACUGUGCUAAGGUAGCAUAAUCAAUUGGCUUUUAAUUGAAGUCUGGAAUGAAUGAAAUAAUGGAGGAAUGCUGUCUUAAAAGUAUUAAUUUAAAUUUAUUUAAAAGGUGAAAAUACCUUUUUUUAAAAAAAAGACGAGAAGACCCUAAGAAUUUUUAGAUUAAUUUUCAAAAAUUAAUCUUUUUGUUGGGGCGACAGAUUAGAAAACUAAACCUAAUUUUUUAAAUUGGCGAAUUUUUUAAGUAAUAAAAAAUUACCUUAGGGAUAACAGCAUAAUGUAAAAUUUUUUAUGUUUGUGACCUCGAUGUUGGACUAGGAACUUUAUGGCUAGCAGUCAGAAAAGAUUUAUUCUGUUCGAAUAAUUUAAUCCU
rnacentral:rRNA from 1 species